GAUGAACGCUAGCGGCAGGCCUAACACAUGCAAGUCGAGGGAGAAGCCCUUCGGGGCAGAAACCGGCGCACGGGUGCGUAACGCGUAUGCAACCUACCUUUCACAGGGGGAUAGCCCGAAGAAAUUUGGAUUAAUACCCCAUAAUAUUAUUGGAUGGCAUCAUUUGAUAAUUAAAAUUACGAUGGUGAAAGAUGGGCAUGCGUCCUAUUAGCUAGUUGGAGUGGUAACGGCACCCCAAGGCUACGAUAGGUAGGGGUCCUGAGAGGGAGAUCCCCCACACUGGUACUGAGACAGGGACCAGACUCCUACGGGAGGCAGCAGUGAGGAAUAUUGGUCAAUGGUCGGAAGACUGAACCAGCCAUGCCGCGUGCAGGAAGAAUGCCUUAUGGGUUGUAAACUGCUUUUAUAUGGGAAGAAUAAGGAGUACGUGUACUUUGAUGAACGGUACCAUAUGAAUAAAGCUC
rnacentral:rRNA from 1 species